rnacentral:rRNA from 1 species
UAGGGAAUCUUCCGCAAUGGACGCAAGUCUGACGGAGCAACGCCGCGUGAGUGAAGAAGGUUUUCGGUUCGUAAAACUCUGUUGUUAGAGAAGAACAGCGCAUAGAGUAACUGUUAUGCGUGUGACGGUAUCUAACCAGAAAGCCACGGCUAACUACGUGCCAGCAGCCGCGGUAAUACGUAGGUGGCAAGCGUUGUCCGGAUUUAUUGGGCGUAAAGCGAGCGCAGGCGGUCAAUUAAGUCUGAUGUGAAAGCCCCCGGCUCAACCGGGGAGGGUCAUUGGAAACUGGUUGACUUGAGUGCAGAAGAGGAGAGUGGAAUUCCAUGUGUAGCGGUGAAAUGCGUAGAUAUAUGGAGGAACACCAGUGGCGAAGGCGACUCUCUGGUCUGUAACUGACGCUGAGGCUCGAAAGCGUGGGUAGCGAACAGG